rnacentral:rRNA from 1 species
ACAAUGAAGAGUUUGAUCCUGGCUCAGGAUGAACGCUAGCUACAGGCUUAACACAUGCAAGUCGAGGGGCAUCAGGAAGAAAGCUUGCUUUCUUUGCCGGCGACCGGCGCACGGGUGAGUAACACGUAUCCAACCUGCCCUUUACUCGGGGAUAGCCUUUCGAAAGAAAGAUUAAUACCCGAUGGCAUAAUGAUUCCGCAUGGUUUCAUUAUUAAAGGAUUCCGGUAAAGGAUGGGGAUGCGUUCCAUUAGGUUGUUGGUGGGGUAACGGCCCACCAAGCCUUCGAUGGAUAGGGGUUCUGAGAGGAAGGUCCCCCACAUUGGAACUGAGACACGGUCCAAACUCCUACGGGAGGCAGCAGUGAGGAAUAUUGGUCAAUGGGCGCUAGCCUGAACCAGCCAAGUAGCGUGAAGGAUGAAGGCUCUAUGGGUCGUAAACUUCUUUUAUAUAAGAAUAAAGUGCAGUAUGUAUACUGUUUUGUAUGUAUUAUAUGAAU